AAAAAUGUUUGGAAAUGAUAUUUUUUCACUGCAGCGAGAUAAAGCAAAUUAACCACUUUACAGCUGACAAGUCCUACAGUAAAUGUCGUUUUUUUGCAAAGGAGGGAGUAGAGGGUACAUAGAAACAAAGUAUGGGAUAAAUGUACACGGGAACUCAGGAGGGCAAGAUAAUAGAGCAAAAUUAAAUGUGCAAUCUCUUCUAGACAGAAG